rnacentral:lncRNA from 1 species
AGGGUAUUUAAUGUCCAAAGCUUCAUGGUUUAUGGAUUCAGAUUUGUAACUGCACAUCAUUUUGGCACGACAUUAUCCAUUAUUCUGCUAGGUUUGAUGUCAACUUAGCAUUGAUGUUUUAACUCUGCCUUUGUUAAUUUUGCAUCAAGAGACCAUGAUUCAUGUUUGCUAAGUUUCUUGGUCAUCCAAGUAUGACUUUGUGUAUUCUACUACAUGUUGAUGGUUCAUUUCUUGGUGGGUUUGAACAUGUAUUGUUUAUGAUUGGCAGGCUACAUGUCCAUUUGGUGGUUGUAAGGCUAUUUCUUCGUGGUUUAGCAAGUUGGCAUGGUUCAUGGCAUGAGUUGAAGCUGCCUGCUUGUGUCUUGUUGUGCAUUGCAGAAUUGGCUCAAAUGGUUGAAUGCCCUGUGUUUCCCCUUGCUGCCAGAUUUGGGCAUUUAGUUUUUUGUAGCAUUGUGCAAGCUAGGCAUGCAUCAUAAAUUGUCUCAUGUGCUAAUGGACUAUGUGGCUUGAUGCCAAUGCAAUUCUGCAGGUGAUAUUCACAUUGUUUUGUGCAUUCUGCAACAAGUAUGAAGGUAUGAUGUUGAGUUUGCAAGGUUUUAUUUUGGUUUGUGAUGGUGAGCUCUUGGUUAUUGCUACUAAUGUAGGGCAGAACUUAUUUGGUUGGCACUUGAUAUGAACGUGUAUUGCUCAUGGUUUUGACCUCAUGGAUUGGUUUGGUACUUAUUGCAUAGCAGGUACAGUAAAGUGAGAAGUUUGGCUCAUGGUGUAGCAGAAUCAUGGGUGAUUGGCUGCUAACUGUUGCAAGAUUUUUGGCUAAGCAUGUUAUGAAUUCUGACUUGCUUCAUCUCCUGCAUAGCAUCUUGCACUGGCUGCUGAUUGAUUGCAGGUUUAUUCAUGGUUUGGCUAUGCUUUUAUUGUGACUUUGCCUCAUGUUUUGCUUUAGUUUUGUAGGACAUAGUACAUGAAGGGUGGUGGUUCAUCAUGACAUCAACAUGUGCAAUUAGUCAAUCAGGAAUUAACAUGGGUCAUGGAAGAAUUAGGGAUGGAUUAGGAUUAGGUUUAGGAAGUUAGGGUUUUUUAGGAUUGGGUUGACUUUGGUCAAAGUUGACCAAAAAGUCAAUUGUUGACCAAAGUCAACAUUUGGUCAACAUUUUCAUUUUAUGUAAUUUUUUCAUAUUUUGGACACUUUGCUUUGUAAUGAAUGAGAUCGACAUAUUAUGAAUGGAUUGAGUUGGUUUUUUUAAAUGAAUUUGAUACUUGUAUUGAAUUGAACCUUG